UCAUGUUUUUCUUUACUCUUCCAACGUUUCAUGUCGAAGGGGGGAAAAACGAUACUUUAUAUAUUACUAUCACAUUAAAGAAAAUAAUACUGCAGCAUUAAGAACAUAUCUCCUUCUUCUUCGUUAUCACAUAAAUUUGACAGACGUUCGUAUAUAUAGUGCUAAGUACAACCAAACCAACGCAAGGAACACGUCAAUGACAACUUCAAAAAGAGUUGCAAUGAAGAAAGUGGCUAAGUUUGAGAAGAACAUCACAAAGAGGGGAAUAUUGCAAAAUCAUAGAGGCAACAAAGGAUUAGAGCCAAUUCAUGUUUUUCUUGUCCUCUUUGCUGUUUUAUUCGUUGGAUCUUUUAUUUUCCAGGUUGUGAUGAUGGCACUUAAUGGUGGAUUGCUACCAAGAUAGAUGGAAGCUUUUAGUUUUUCCAGGAAAAUAAAAGAAUAAUUUAAAUCAGAAACUUUAUGAGCUUAUUAGAGAAAUUAAACUAGCUUUUUUGCUACUUAGGAGAGGUUUUAGUAUAAAAAUAUGAAGGGAAAAGCUUUAUUUGCACUCGAUAUUUGCUUCAGACGAAUAAAUACAAGUGUUGCACAUAAACAUUUGUAACUUAUUCAUAGUUACAUAUUGCAUCUUCCCACUUUAAUU